GUCAAUGUGUAUAAAGAAAGUUUAUUUGUUCAACAACAUUAUAUCAUUGGAGAGCACUAGUAGAGUAGAUUAUAUACAAUAAAGAGUUGUAGAGUACUUAGUUACAAUGGAUAAAAUGUGUAUACCAUCUAUAUAUAUAUCUCAAUAAAUAUGUAUACAUAAUGCAGUCCAUAAUGCAAUGUUUUAGCACCAUAUGAAAUCAGAGAGCAAUAUUGGAUGAUGUCACUAGGACAAGUGAGCAAUUAGUAGCUGGAGACAACUUUAAGUGGCCAAGUCAAGAUCAGACAGAGAAAGUGUCUCCCAGCCGUUAACUAUGGCACACAGUCUUUGACUCUUUAAAGCUAACAGUAAUACAAAUAGUAAUUCCCCCCCCCCCCCC